GUGCUCGCUUUGGCAGCACAUAUACUAAAAUUGGAAGGAUACAGAGAUUAGCAUGGCCUCUACACAAAGAUGACAUGCAAAUCCAUUAAGUGUUCCAUAUUUUU